AUGCUCGCUUUAGAAGCACAUAUACUAAUAUUGGACCGAUACAGAGAAGAUUAGCAUGGCCCCUGCUCAAGGAUGACAUGCAAAUCUGUGAAGCGUUCCAUUAAAAA
ensembl:snRNA U6 U6 spliceosomal RNA